CGAGCAAGCCUCGGAUUAUGGAUAAACAAAUUAUACAAGUGAGACGAUCUCCUCGAGUUGCAAACAAUCCUGCUCCUGUUUAUGCUGAAAUUUCAUUGCCUCGGUUUUCUUUACCCAGAAAGUGAGUAACCUAAUUUUUCAAUUAAAUUUGAUGAAAAAAUUAAAUUUGGGGGGUUUUUUUUGUUGAAUUUUAAUGGGGUUACAAAAUUAAUGUUGGGUAUGUUAGGAAUUAUGGAGUAGUAAAAGCAAGAGAUUUCUCAAAUCGAGUAAUAGCAAGCGAUGAUGUGAGAGAAUACACAAUUGAAGAAGCAGAGAAGCUGAAUGCUAAGCUUGAAGAAGAGGGUUUUCCUACUCUUGUUAGACCCAUGCUUCCUUCACAUGUUACUGGUGGUUUGAUUUGGCAUCCCUAAUUUUGACGUCUGCGGAUUUGGUUUUCUCUAAGGUUGUUGAGAAAGACGCAUGAAACACAUGGUGCAGCCCUCCCCUUCAGCUCCAGUAGUAACGGGCAACGAUUCCCAUUCUAGUCCUUCAGCUUCAGGUAUGGUGUUAUAGCUGCUCCUGAGAUUACAGGUUGGCAACUCCUGAAUGACAAUGAUAGGCUGAUAGCUACCUCAUAGCUGCGUCUGAUGGUGUUUUUUAGGGGCAGGACACGCAGGAUGUCUGUGAUCUGCUGUGGGAAGUCCAGAAUGAUGACCUCUCAGGAUCACAUGUCUCUCCACCCUGCUCAGAUUCUUUAGCUGAUUGCAUAAUAAGCGUUGCCUUUGAGAGAGGGAGUGUAGAUAAUAUGGCCGCUGCUGUGAUUCCAUUAAGAUUAGAGUUUGUCGAAUACCUCUUUGAAUGGUUGGAAGGAUGAAUGGUGUUUUAUUUGUGAAUUUAAAAAUCUUAUGCUGAAGGGAAGGGAAGGGAAGGUUACACUCCGUUAUCCCCUAUCCGAAUCCCCUCUAACAUUAGCCAUCUUGGUCACGGAAAAGAAGAA